rnacentral:rRNA from 1 species
GACGAACGCUGGCGGCGUGCUUAACACAUGCAAGCCGAACGAUGAAGCUAGAGCUUGCUCUGGUGAAUUAGUGGCGAACGGGUGAGUAACACGUGAGUAACCUGCCCCGAACUCUGGGAUAACUGCUGGAAACGGUAGCUAAUACUGGGUACGACCUACGAAGGCAUCUUCUGUAGGUGGAAAGAAUUUCGGUUCGGGAUGGACUCGCGGCCUAUCAGCUUGUUGGUGAGGUAAUGGCUCACCAAGGCGACGACGGGUAGCCGGCCUGAGAGGGUGACCGGCCACACUGGGACUGGGACACGGCCCAGACUCCUACGGGGGGCAGCAGUGGGGAAUAUUGCACAAUGGGCGCAAGCCUGAUGCAGCAACGCCGCGUGAGGGAUGACGGCCUUCGGGUUGUAAACCUCUUUUAGUAGGGAAGAAGCGAAAGUGACGGUACCUGCAGAAAAAGCACCGGCUAACUACGUGCCAGCCGCCGCAGUAA